UCGAACGAACUUUUCCUUUUGAUUGAUGCUUGCAUCAUGAUUUAGAUCUAAGUGAGUGGCGGACGGGUGAGUAACACGUGGGUAACCUGCCCAGAAGUGGGGGAUAACAUUUGGAAACAAGUGCUAAUACCGCAUAACAACAUUAAACACAUGUUUUUUGUUUAAAAGAUGGUUUUGCUAUCUCUUCUGGAUGGACCCGCGGCGUAUUAGCUAGUUGGUGAGGUAAUAGCUCACCAAGGCGAUGAUACGUAGCCGACCUGAGAGGGUAAUCGGCCACAUUGGGACUGAGACACGGCCCAAACUCCUACGGGAGGCAGCAGUAGGGAAUCUUCCACAAUGGACGAAAGUCUGAUGGAGCAAUGCCGCGUGAGUGAAGAAGGUUUUCGGAUCGUAAAACUCUGUUGUUGAAGAAGAACAUAUGUGAGAGUAACUGUUCACGUACUGACGGUAUUCAACCAGAAAGCCACGGCUAACUACGUGCCAGCAGCCGCGGUAAUACGUAGGUGGCAAGCGUUGUCCGGAUUUAUUGGGCGUAAAGAGAAUGUAGGCGGUUCAUUAAGUUUGAAGUGAAAGCCCUCGGCUCAACCGAGGAAGUGCUUCGAAAACUGGUGAACUUGAGUGCAGAAGAGGAAAGUGGAACUCCAUGUGUAGCGGUGGAAUGCGUAGAUAUAUGGAAGAACACCAGUGGCGAAAGGCGGCUUUCUGGUCUGUAACUGACGCUGAGAUUCGAAAGCAUGGGUAGCAAACAGGAUUAGAUACCCUGGUAGUCCAUGCCGUAACGAUGAGUGCUAGUGUUGGAGGGUUUCGCCCUUCAGUGCUGCAGCUACGCAUUAGCACUCGCUGCGAGUACGAUCGCAGAUGA
rnacentral:rRNA from 2 species